rnacentral:rRNA from 1 species
AUACGUAGGGUGCGAGCGUUGUCCGGAAUUACUGGGCGUAAAGAGCUCGUAGGUGGUUUGUCGCGUCGUCUGUGAAAUUCCGGGGCUUAACUCCGGGCGUGCAGGCGAUACGGGCAUAACUUGAGUACUGUAGGGGAGACUGGAAUUCCUGGUGUAGCGGUGAAAUGCGCAGAUAUCAGGAGGAACACCGGUGGCGAAGGCGGGUCUCUGGGCAGUAACUGACGCUGAGGAGCGAAAGCAUGGGUAGCGAACAGGAUUUGAUACCCUGGUAGUCCAUGCCGUAAACGGUGGGCGCUAGGUGUAGGGGUCUUCCACGACUUCUGUGCCGUAGCUAACGCAUUAAGCGCCCCGCCUGGGGAGUACGGCCGCAAGGCUAAAACUCAAAGGAAUUGACGGGG